GAGAGAGAGAGAUGGGAAGCAACACUUUGCUCAUUAACAUAGUUUGCUGCAUUAUUAUGAUGCUGCUCCUCCAUCUUCAUUUUACCUCAGCUGGAAGGUCCAUCAAUCCUCAAGGUUGUGGUCAUCGUGCUAGUCAAAAUGGCGGUUCGGGUGGAAACAAUCCAUCUCCUUCCCCAGGAUGCCACCAUUAAAUCAUGGAAGCUUGUUCAGGUCCAGCGCCAAACCUGCUAUUCAGGAUAUUUAGUUCUUAAGCGUUGGAGUACUUGUGAUAUGAUUGACUUUAGUGUAUCAGAUAUUUCUAUGAA